rnacentral:lncRNA from 1 species
UCACCAAAUAAUAAUGAAGAUCAUUUGAAAACAUCAAGUGGGGCUCCUUCGUCAACACCUACAAUUGGAAAAUCAAUUCCAUCGUUGGAACCACAACAAGAAGACAUGGCAUCUCCUCAAACAGGAUCUCCUCUGCCAACACCGACAAAUAAUGAAAAACGUGUGAAACGAAAGGGUCAAACGACAACGCAACAUGUUGGAUCACCAAAUUCACCUUUGGAAGGUCAUUCUGCAAACGCACCAAAUGAAAAUGGUUCGUCGUUCCAACCACAUUCUCCAUCAUCGUCACCUGGUCAAGAAGAAAGUGUGGAGAGUCCUUCAGGUUCCGCUAGGGAAACACCUACAAACGAAGCAAGUUUCAUUGGAAGAUCACCAAAUAAUAAUGAAGAUCAUUUGAAAACAUCAAGUGGGGCUCCUUCGUCAACACCUACAAUUGGAAAAUCAAUUCCAUCGUUGGAACCACAACAAGAAGACAUGGCAUCUCCUCAACCAGUUUCUUCUCAACGAACACCGACAAAUAAUGAAAAUCGUGUGAAACGAAGGGGUGAAACAAUAACUCAACAUGUUGGAUCACCAAAUUCACCUUUGGAAGGUCAUUCUCCAAACGCACCCAAUGAAAAUGGUUCGUCGUUCCUACCACAUUCUCCAUCAUCGUCACCUGGUCAAGAAGAAAGUGUGGAGAGUCCUUCAGGUUCCGCUAGGGAAACACCUACAAACGAAGCAAGUUUCAUUGGAAGAUCACCAAAUAAUGAAGAUCAUUUGAAAACAUCAAGUGGGGCUCCUUCGUCAACACCUACAAUUGGAAAAUCAAUUCCAUCGUUGGAACCACAACAAGAAGACAUGGCAUCUCCUCAACCAGUUUCUUCUCGACUAACACCGACAAAUAAUGAAAAUCGUGUGAAACGAAAGGGUCAAACAACAACUCAACAUGUUGGAUCACCAAAGACACCUUCGGAAGGUCAUUCUCCAAACGCACCCAAUGAAAAUGUUUCGUCGUUCCUACCACAUUCUCCAUCAUCGUCACCUGGUCAAGAAGAAAGUGUGGAGAGUCCUUUAGGUUCCGCUAGGGAAACACCUACAAACGAAGCAAGUUUCAUUGGAAGAUCACCAAAUAAUGAAGAUCAUUUGAAAAUAUCAAGUGGGGCUCCUUCUUCAACACCUACAAUUGGAAAAUCAAUUCCAUCGUUGGAACCACAACAAGAAGACAUGGCAUCUCCUCAACCAGUUUCUUCUCGACUAACACCGACAAAUAAUGAAAAUCGUGUGAAACGAAAGGGUGAAACAACAACUCAACAUGUUGGAUCACCAAAGACACCUUCGGAAGGUCAUUCUCCAAACGCAGCCAAUGAAAAUGGAUCGUCGUUCCUACCACAUUCUCCAUCAUCGUCACCUGGUCAAGAAGAAAGUGUGGAGAGUCCUUUAGGUUCCGCUAGGGAAACACCUACAAACGAAGCAAGUUUCAUUGGAAGAUCACCAAAUAAUGAAGAUCAUUUGAAAACAUCAAGUGGGGCUCCUUCUUCAACACCUACAAUUGGAAAAUCAAUUCCAUCGUUGGAACCACAACAAGAAGACAUGGCAUCUCCACAAACAGGAUCUCCUCGACUAACACCGACAGAUAAUAAAAAUCAUGUGAAACGAAAGGGUCAAACAACAACGCAACAUGUUAGAUCACCAAAUUCACCUUUGGAAGGUCAUUCUCCAAACGCACCCAAUGAAAAUGGUUCGUCGUUCCUACCACAUUCUCCAUCAUCGUCACCUGGUCAAGAAGAAAGUGUGGAGAGUCCUUCAGGUUCCGCUAGGGAAACACCUACAAACGAAGCAAGUUUCAUUGGAAGAUCACCAAAUAAUGAAGUACAUUUGAAAACAUCAAGUGGGGUUCCUUCGUCAACACCUACAAUUGGAAAAUCAAUUCCAUCGUUGGAACCACAACAAGAAGACAUGGCAUCUCCUCAACCAGUUUCUUCUCGACUAACACCGACAAAUAAUGAAAAUCGUGUGAAACGAAAGGGUGAAACGACAACGCAACAUGUUGGAUCACCAAAUUCACCUUUGGAAGGUCAUUCUCCAAACGCACCCAAUGAAAAUGGUUCGUCGUUCCAACCACAUUCUCCAUCAUCGUCACCUGGUCAAGAAGAAAGUGUGGAGAGUCCUUCAGGUUCCGCUAGGGAAACACCUACAAACGAAGCAAGUUUCAUUGGAAGAUCACCAAAUAAUAAUGAAGAUCAUUUGAAAACAUCAAGUGGGGCUCCUUCGUCAACACCUACAAUUGGUAAAUCAAUUCCAUCGUUGGAACCACAACAAGAAGACAUGGCAUCUCCACAAACAGGAUCUCCUCGACGAACACCGACAGAUAAUAAAAAUCAUGUGAAACGAAAGGGUCAAACAACAACGCAACAUGUUAGAUCACCAAAUUCACCUUUGGAAGGUCAUUCUCCAAACGCACCCAAUGAAAAUGGUUCGUCGUUCCUACCACAUUCUCCAUCAUCGUCACCUGGUCAAGAAGAAAGUGUGGAGAGUCCUUCAGGUUCCGCUAGGGAAACACCUACAAACGAAGCAAGUUUCAUUGGAAGAUCACCAAAUAAUGAAGAUCAUUUGAAAACAUCAAGUGGGGCUCCUUCGUCAACACCUACAAUUGGAAAAUCAAUUCCAUCGUUGGAACCACAACAAGAAGACAUGGCAUCUCCUCAACCAGUUUCUUCUCGACUAACCCCGACAAAUAAUGAAAAUCGUGUGAAACGAAAGGGUGAAACAACAACUCAACAUGUUGGAUCACCAAAGACACCUUUGGAAGGUCAUUCUCCAAACGCACCCAAUGAAAAUGGAUCGUCGUUCCUACCACAUUCUCCAUCAUCGUCACCUGGUCAAGAAGAAAGUGUGGAGAGUCCUUCAGGUUCCGCUAGGGAAACACCUACAAACGAAGCAAGUUUCAUUGGAAGAUCACCAAAUAAUAAUGAAGAUCAUUUGAAAAUAUCAAGUGAGGCUCCUUCGUCAACACCUACAAUUGGUAAAUCAAUUCCAUCGUUGGAACCACAACAAGAAGACAUGGCAUCUCCACAAACAGGAUCUCCUCGACUAACACCGACAGAUAAUGAAAAUCAUGUGAAACGAAAGGGUCAAACAACAACGCAACAUGUUGGAUCACCAAAGACACCUUUGGAAGGUCAUUCUCCAAACGCACCCAAUGAAAAUGGAUUGUCGUUCCUACCACAUUCUCCAUCAUCGUCACCUGGUCAAGAAGAAAGUGUGGAGAGUCCUUCAGGUUCCGCUAGGGAAACACCAACAAACGAAGCAAGUUUCAUUGGAAGAUCACCAAAUAAUGAAGAUCAUUUGAAAACAUCAAGUGGGGCUCCUUCGUCAACACCUACAAUUGGAAAAUCAAUUCCAUCGUUGGAACCACAACAAGAAGACAUGGCAUCUCCUCAACCAGUUUCUUCUCGACUAACACCGACAAAUAAUGAAAAUCGUGUGAAACGAAAGGGUGAAACAACAACUCAACAUGUUGGAUCACCAAAUUCACCUUUGGAAGGUCAUUCUCCAAACGCACCCAAUGAAAAUGGUUCGUCGUUCCAACCACAUUCUCCAUCAUCGUCACCUGGUCAAGAAGAAAGUGUGGAGAGUCCUUUAGGUUCCGCUAGGGAAACACCUACAAACGAAGCAAGUUUCAUUGGAAGAUCACCAAAUAAUGAAGAUCAUUUGAAAACAUCAAGUGGGGCUCCUUCGUCAACACCUACAAUUGGUAAAUCAAUUCCAUCGUUAGAACCACAACAAGAAGACAUGGCAUCUCCACAAACAGGAUCUCCUCGACUAACACCGACAGAUAAUAAAAAUCAUGUGAAACGAAAGGGUCAAACAACAACGCAACAUGUUAGAUCACCAAAUUCACCUUUGGAAGGUCAUUCUCCAAACGCACCCAAUGAAAAUGGUUCGUCGUUCCUACCACAUUCACCAUCAUCGUCACCUGGUCAAGAAGAAAGUGUGGAGAGUCCUUCAGGUUCCGCUAGGGAAACACCUACAAACGAAGCAAGUUUCAUUGGAAGAUCACCAAAUAAUAAUGAAGAUCAUUUGAAAACAUCAAGUGAGGCUCCUUCGUCAACACCUACAAUUGGUAAAUCAAUUCCAUCGUUGGAACCACAACAAGAAGACAUGGCAUCUCCACAAACAGGAUCUCCUCGACUAACACCGACAGAUAAUAAAAAUCAUGUGAAACGAAAGGGUCAAACAACAACGCAACAUGUUAGAUCACCAAAUUCACCUUUGGAAGGUCAUUCUCCAAACGCACCCAAUGAAAAUGGUUCGUCGUUCCUACCACAUUCUCCACCAUCGUCACCUGAUCAUGAAGAAAUUGUGGAGAGUCCUUCAGGUUCUGCUAGGGAAACACCUACAAACGAAGCAAGUUUCAUUAGAAGAUCACCAAAUAAUGAAGAUCAUUUGAAAACAUCAAGUGGGGCUCCUUCGUCAACACCUACAAUUGGUAAAUCAAUUCCAUCGUUGGAACCAAAACAAGAAGACAUGGCAUCUCCUCAAACAGGAUCUCCUCUGCCAACACCGACAAAUAAAGAAAAACGUGUGAAACGAAAGGGUCAAACGACAACGCAACAUGUUGGAUCACGAAAUUCACCUUUGGAAGGUGAUUCUCCAAACGCACCCAAUGAAAAUGGUUCGUCGUUUCAACCACAUUCUCCAUCAUCGUCACCUGACCAUGAAGAAAGUGUGGAGAGUCCUUCAGGUUUUGGUAGGGAAACACCUACAAACGAAGCAAGUUUCAUUGGAAGAUCACCAAAUAAUGAAGUUCAUUUGAAAACAUCAAGUGGGGCUCCUUCGUCAACACCUACAAUUGGACAAUCAAUUCCAUCGUUGGAACCACAACAAGAAGAUAUGGCAUCUCCACAACCAGUUUCUUCUCGACUAACACCGACAAAUAAUGAAAAUCGUGUGAAACGAAAGGGUCAAAUAACAACUCAACAUGUUGGAUCACCAAAGACACCUUUGAAAGGUCAUUCUCCAAACGCACCCAAUGAAAAUGGUUCGUCGUUCCAACCACAUUCUCCAUCAUCGUCACCUGACCACGAAGAAAGUGUGGAAAGUCCUUCAGGUUUUGGUAGGGAAACAAGUACAAACGAAGCAAGUUUAAUUGGAAGAUCACCAAAUAAUGAAGAUCAUUUGAAAACAUCAAGUGGGGCUCCUUCGUCAACACCUACAAUUGGAAAAUCAAUUCCAUCAUUGGAACCCCAACAAGAAGACAUGACAUCUCCACAUAUCGGAUCUCCUCGACCAACACCGACAAGCAAUGAAAAUCGUGUGAAACGAAAGGGUCAAACAACAACGCAACAUGUUGGAUCACCAAAGACAUCUUUCGAAGGUCAUUCUCCAAAUGCACCCAGUGAAAAUGGUAAAUCCUUCCAACCAAAGACACCUUUGGAAGGACAUUCUCCAAAUGCACCCAAUGAAAAUGGUUCGUCGUUCCAACCACAUUCUCCUUCAUCGUCACCUGAUCACGAAGAAAGUGAGGAGAGUCCUUCAGGUUCUGCUAGUGGAACACCUACAAAUGAAGCAAGUUCCAUUGGAAGAUCUCCAAAUAAUGAAGAUCAUUUGAAAACAUCAAUUGAGGCUCCUUCGUCAAAACCUACAAUUGGUAAAUGGAUUCCAUCGUUGGAACCACAACAAGAAGACAUGACAUUUCCACAAACCGGAUCUCCUCGACUAACACCUACAAAUAAUGAAAAUCGUGUGAAACGAAAGGGUCAAACAACAACGCAACAUGUUGGAUCACCAAAGACACCUUUGGAAGGUCGUUCUCCAAAUGUACCCAAUGAAAAUGGUUCGUUGUUCCAACCACAUUCUCCAUCAUUGUCACCUGACCACGAAAAAAGUGUGGAAAGUCCUUCAGGUUUUGCUAGGGAAACCCCUACAAAUGAAGCAAGUUUUAUUGGAAGAUCACCAAAUAAUGAAGUACAUUUGAAAACUUCAAGUGGUGCUCCUUCGUUAACACCGGAAAUUGGUAAAUCGAUUCCAUCGUUGGAGCCUCAACAAGAAGACAUGGCAUCUCCACAGAUAGGAUCUCCUCUGCCAACACCGACAAAUAAUGAAAAUCGUGUGAAACGAAAGGGUCAAACAACAUCGCAACAACAUGUUGGAUCACCAAAGACACCUUUGGAAGGUCAUUCUCCAAAUACAUCCAAUGAAAAUGGUUCGCCUUUCCAACCACAUACCCCAUCAUCGUCACCUGACCACAAAGAAAGUGUGGAGAGUCCUUCAGGUUCUGCUAGGGAAACACCAACAAAUGAAGCAAGUUUCAUUGUAAGAUCACCAAAUAAUGAAGAACAUUUGAAAACUUCAAGUGGUGCUCCUUCGUUAACACCUGAAAAUGGUAAAUCGAUUCCAUCGUUGGAGCCACAACAA